rnacentral:tRNA from 1 species
CUGGGUGUGGCCGAAUUCGGUGUGGAUGAAUUCGUUGACGUCGAAUCGUUUUGCCAGUUUGGGUUCCAAGCCUGCGUCCAAG